UCAAACGAAUGUGUGGGAGACUACACGAA
rnacentral:sRNA from 1 species